rnacentral:sRNA from 1 species
GAGCACCGGGUCUUCGAGGUGAUCGAAGGGGAUCGAGAACAGCGUCUUCUUUGCGGCUUCGAUCUCGAUGAUCAAAGGCCGGUAGAGGAAAAGCGGCGCGCGCGCGAAGUCGCUUGC